AUUUUGAAAUACGUUAUUUGGUGCAUCUUUUUUUCUCCGGUUUACUCAAUUGUAUCGGGUGUAUAGAAAAUGAUUGAAUGAGUAAACAGCUUGGUGAUGGUAUGGUUUGUUCCAAAUGCCUUCAAGAUAAAUUAAAAAAAAAACAUAUGGUAUACCCUCAAAAAGUCAAAUUUCAGAUCAACAAGUAUCAAUAAAAAUGAAAAAAAGACAAUAAAAAAGAAGUAAAUACAUG
rnacentral:lncRNA from 1 species